UGGUCAAAGAGUUCCCUGUGGGAUGAAGAAAUCUCACCAGUUCCAUUAGGGUUUUGCUAAAACAACAGUCUUGAGAGUUGUAGCCACAGGAUGGUCACUCCUUGAGGAGAAAGAGAUGAGAAGAGUUACAAGGGAAAACUAGGAAAAUAGAUCCUAUGGAAGCUGACUUUUCUAUGAAGUAGGACCUGUUGUUUUGCAACAAAUAUUCCUGGAUGCCUACCACGUACCAUGGGCUGUACUGGGAUCUGGGGCCACUGACAUAAACCCACACAUGAGGACUAGCCUCAGACUGUUCAGCGAAGAAGGAGAAGGAACAGGAAAUCAGAGAGUAUAAUUAUACAGCUGAUGGGAGAUAGUGAGUUUGGUCAUGGAUGAGUUGCCUCUGCAACCUCCAGGUCUUGGAAUACAUCACUCUGGGCUCUCCCGGAGCAGCUGACACAUCGCAGUAACGCUUCUCCAAAAGUCAGGGUCUGCUGAUUCCAGCGGGGACAGCAAGGCAAGCCGGGAGCAGCUGAAAUGGUCUCCUCCAACUUCGGAGACUCAGGGCAGGCGGCUGGCUUAGCGGCAGAGGCCCAGCGACUGGGCUGUCAAGUGCAGCGCCCACGAUUCCCAGACCAGAAGGAAAUUAGAGCUCAUAUUCCUGCCCUGCUUGGCUCACAACGUUGUCCUGAGAAUUAAAUGACAAAUGACCUCCAUCAUGGAUUUUUUCCCUCAUUCAUUCAGUCAAUAAUCAUCUGCCCAGGGGUAAAGAAUCUGCCUGCAAUGUGGGAGACCUGGGUUUGAUCCCUCGGUUGGAAAGAUCCCCCGAAGAAGGGAAAGGCUACCCACUCCAGUAUUCUGACCUGGACAAUUCCAUGGACUGUAUAGUCAGUUUAUGGGGUCACAAAGAGUCGGACACAACUAAGCAACUUUCACUUCACUUUACUUGGCCUCCUUUAAUGGUUUAGAUUAAGAUUAUUUAGUUUAAUAGUUUAAGAUUACUUUUUAUUGAGAUACAAUUGACAUAUAUUAGUUUCAGAUGUACAACAUAAUGAUUUAAUAUUUGUAUAUAUUGUGAAAUGAUCACCAUGAUGAAUCUAGUUAAUAUCCAUCAUCUCACAGUUACAAUUUUUUUUCCUGUGAUGAAAACUUUUAAGGUCUACUCUCUUAGCAACUUUUGAAUAUGCAACACAGUGUUAACUAUAGUCACCACUCUGUACAUCACAUCCCAUGAUUUAUGUAUUUUAUAACUGAAAGUUUGUACCUUUUGAUCCCCUUCAUCCAGUUCAGUUUUUUUUUGUUUUGAUCUUUGUUUUUAGAUUCUACAUACGUGCCAGAUCACACAGUAUUUAUCUUUCUUUGUCUGACUUCACUUACCAUAAUGCCCUCACUUUUUUUUAGGUGGCUCAAUAAUAUUCCACUGUAUACAUGUAUACCACAUCUUCUUUAUCCAUUCAUCUACCAGUGGACACUUGGGUUGUUUCUAUGGCUUGGCUAUUAUAAAUAAUGCUGCUAUGAACAUGAC
ensembl:lncRNA